rnacentral:rRNA from 1 species
UACAGAGGGGGCAAGCGUUGUUCGGAAUUACUGGGCGUAAAGGGCGCGUAGGUGGCCUUCUAAGUUGAACGUGAAAUCCCUGGGCUCAACCCAGGAACUGCGUCCAAGACUGGGAGGCUUGAAUCCGGGAGAGGGAUGCGGAAUUCCAGGUGUAGCGGUGAAAUGCGUAGAUAUGUGGAAGAACACCUGUGGCGAAAGCGGUUUUCUAGCUUAUUCCUGACGCUCAUGCCCGAAAGCUAGGGGAGCAAACAGG